rnacentral:rRNA from 1 species
GAGAUGGCUUGGUGCUCGAAAGAGAGCCGUAACACAGGUGCUGCAUGGCUGUCGUCAGCUCGUGUCGUGAGAUGUUGGGUUAAGUCCCGCAACGAGCGCAACCCUUGUCAUUAGUUGCUACGAAAGGGCACUCUAAUGAGACUGCCGGUGACAAACCGGAGGAAGUGGGGAUGACGUCAAGUCCUCAUGGCCCUUAUGGGUAGGGCUACACACGUCAUACAAUGGCCGGUACAAAGGGCAGCCAACCCGCGAGGGGGGAGCCAAUCCCGUAAAGCCGGUCGUAGUCCGGAUCGCAGUCUGCAACUCGACUGCGUGAAGUCGGAAUCGCUAGUAAUCGUGGAUCAGCAUGUCACGGUGAAUACGCUCCCGGGUCUU